rnacentral:misc_RNA from 1 species
UCCCCGUUACCGGGGCAGUCUGAAUAGAAAAAUACAACUAUUCACAGGGGUUGCGCUCGUUGAAGGACUUAACCUAACAUCUCACGACACGAGCUGACGACGGCCAUGCAACACCUGUCACUUGGCUCCCGAAGGCACUCACUGCUUUCGCAGUAAUUCCAAGGAUGUCAAGUCUGGGUAAGGUUCUUGGCUUAGCAUCCAAUUAAACAACACGCUCCACCGCUUGUGCGGGUCCCCGUCAAUUCCUUUGAGUUUCAGCCUUGCGGCCGUACUCCCCAGGCGGGGCACUUAAUGCGUUAGCGCCGGCACCCAGGGGGUCGCUCCCCCAGGCACCUAGUGCCCAUCGUUUACGGCGUGGACUAC